CGCCACGCCGGUGCUGCCCAACGUGUACAGCGCGCUGCUCUGCUUUGACCGCCUCUCCGAGCUCUCCUCUGCCAUUGACGAGUUCUCAAGUGGGUAUCAACAAGACUGCGCGCGUGCCGGAGAACGAGGACGACUGAAAUCACAUAGAGGAAACUCGAAUACAAUAGUGGCUCUUGCUGGGAACAAGGCUGAUGUGUUAGAUACGAGGCAGGUGUCAGCAGAUAAGUUUGAACUUGAUUUGUGUUGCUGAGUGGUGCUUGCUGGACAUUGCUGGAUUUUUAGAUCCUAUAAGAACAAUGGCAUUAGGUAGACGUACUCAAAAUAGGACGGUGGCAGGCCUGUCUCCCUUUCCUCCUUUCGUGCUAUUUGACGAUAUUCAAGAUGUCAAUAACUUACCACAAGUCAAAAGUGUCUUUGCGAGAGUAGUUGUUAAGUUCCCUAGGCGUCGUAAUAGUCAACACUACAUCCUACAGGACAUCACUGGAUCCAAAAUCGAAGCAAUUUCUAACGGCAAUAAUGUCCAACGGUUCGAUGCCUUACUCACACAAGGAUGCACAUAUACAUUGUAUAGAGUGGCAUUUUGUCUAAACCGGGAGGAACUUCAAUUUCGCAAUAUUGGUCAUGGGCUAGAGUUGGGAUUGAUAACACAUACUAUUGUGGAUCCAUUCACGAAGCCAAUCCAAUUUCCUCCAUUUCCAAAGUAUCUUAUGCCAUUUCAUGAGGUUUACCAACAACCGCAUAAGACAUUCGUAGAUGUUAUUGGCAUAGUUCUUCAUUUGGAACCAUUAAAGCAUAUCGGUGGAAGACCGUAUAGAGAAG